AACCUUAUGGACCUGCGGGCGUAUACCUGCGGAAGGAUCAUUACUGAGUGAGCGCCCUCGGGCGCGACCUCCAACCCUUUGUAUUCCGACCACGUUGCCUCGGGGGCGACCCGGCCUUCGGGCGUUGGGGCCCCCGGUGGACAUUCAACUCUGCAUCUUUGCGUCUGAGUAUGAUAUUGAAUCAAUCAAAACUUUCAACAAUGGAUCU
rnacentral:misc_RNA from 1 species